AGUCGAGCGAGUCUGCCUUGAAGAUCGGAGUGCUUGCACUCUGUGAAACAAGAUACAGGCUAGCGGCGGACGGGUGAGUAACACGUGGGUAACCUGCCCAAGAGAUUGGGAUAACACCUGGAAACAGAUGCUAAUACCGGAUAACAACAGAUGAUGCCUAUCAACUGUUUAAAAGAUGGUUCUGCUAUCACUCUUGGAUGGACCUGCGGUGCAUUAGCUAGUUGGUAGGGUAACGGCCUACCAAGGCGAUGAUGCAUAGCCGAGUUGAGAGACUGAUCGGCCACAUUGGGACUGAGACACGGCCCAAACUCCUACGGGAGGCAGCAGUAGGGAAUCUUCCACAAUGGACGCAAGUCUGAUGGAGCAACGCCGCGUGAGUGAAGAAGGGUUUCGGCUCGUAAAGCUCUGUUGUUGGUGAAGAAGGACAGGGGUAGUAACUGACCUUUGUUUGACGGUAAUCAAUUAGAAAGUCACGGCUAACUACGUGCCAGCAGCCGCGGUAAUACGUAGGUGGCAAGCGUUGUCCGGAUUUAUUGGGCGUAAAGCGAGUGCAGGCGGCUCGAUAAGUCUGAUGUGAAAGCCUUCGGCUCAACCGGAGAAUUGCAUCAGAAACUGUCGAGCUUGAGUACAGAAGAGGAGAGUGGAACUCCAUGUGUAGCGGUGAAAUGCGUAGAUAU
rnacentral:rRNA from 1 species